rnacentral:rRNA from 1 species
UAAUGUAUGGGGAUCUGCCCGAUAGAGGGGGAUAACUACUGGAAACGGUGGCUAAUACCGCAUAAUGUCUACGGACCAAAGCAGGGGCUCUUCGGACCUUGCACUAUCGGAUGAACCCAUAUAGGAUUAGCUAGUAGGUGGGGUAAAGGCUCACCUAGGCGACGAUCUCUAGCUGGUCUGAGAGGAUGAUCAGCCACACUGGGACUGAGACACGGCCCAG